rnacentral:rRNA from 1 species
UGUUCCUACGGGACGCAGCAGUGAGGAAUAUUGGUCAAUGGGCGGGAGCCUGAACCAGCCAAGUCGCGUGAGGGAAGACGGUCCUAUGGAUUGUAAACCUCUUUAGGCGGGGAGCAAUGCCGGGCACGUGUGCCCGGAGGGAGAGUACCCGCAGAAUAAGCCUCGGCUAACUCCGUGCCAGCAGCCGCGGUAAUACGGCGGAUGCGAGCGUUAUCCGGAUUUUUUGGGUUUAAACGGUGCGUCGGCGGAUUUUUAAGUCAGCGGUAAAAUGUCCGGGCUCAACCC